UACGGAGGAUGCAAGCGUUAUCCGGAAUGAUUGGGCGUAAAGGGUCCGCAGGUGGCAAUGUGUGUCUGCUGUCAAAGAAUGAGGCUUAACCUCAUCAAGGCAGUGGAAACUACAUAGCUAGAGUACGGUCGGGGUAGAAGGAAUUCCUGGUGUAGCGGUGAAAUGCGUAGAGAUCAGGAAGAACACCGGUGGCGAAAGCGCUCUGCUAGACCUGUACUGACACUGAGGGACGAAAGCUAGGGGAGCGAAUGGG
rnacentral:rRNA from 1 species